CCUACGGGUGGCAGCAGUCGAGAAUCAUUCACAAUGGGGGAAACCCUGAUGGUGCGACGCCGCGUGGGGGAAUGAAGGUCUUCGGAUUGUAAACCCCUGUCAUGUGGGAGCAAAUUAAAAAGAUAGUACCACAAGAGGAAGAGACGGCUAACUCUGUGCCAGCAGCCGCGGUAAUACAGAGGUCUCAAGCGUUGUUCGGAAUCACUGGGCGUAAAGCGUGCGUAGGCUGUUUCGUAAGUCGUGUGUGAAAGGCGCGGGCUCAACCCGCGGACGGCACAUGAUACUGGGAGACUAGAGUAAGGGAGAGGGAACCGGAAUUCUCGGUGUAGCAGUGAAAUGCGUAGAUAUCGAGAGGAACACUCGUGGCGAAGGCGGGUUCCUGGACAUUAACUGACGCUGAGGCACGAAGGCCAGGGGAGCGAAAGGGAUUAGAUACCCUAGUAGUC
rnacentral:rRNA from 1 species